rnacentral:rRNA from 1 species
UACGAAGGUGGCAAGCGUUACUCGGAAUUACUAGGCGUAAAGGGCAGGUAGGUGGUUUGGUAAGUCUGUUGUGUAAGCUCCCGGCUUAACUGGGAGAGGUCAACAGAAACUGCCAGGCUUGAGUAUGGGAGAGGGUACUGGAAUUCCCGGUGUAGCGGUGAAAUGCGCAGAUAUCGGGAGGAACGCCAAUGGCGAGAGCAGGUACCUGGACCAGUACUGACACUCAGCUGCGAAAGCUAGGGGAGCAAACAGG